rnacentral:miRNA from 1 species
UGAUAUAUAUGUGUGGGG